GAUGAACGCUGGCGGCGUGGAUAAGGCAUGCAAGUCGAGUGGGUUUAGACCCACGGCGAACGAGGUAGUAACACGUAGGCACACACCCUGAAGUUGGGCAUAACUAGCCGAAAGGUUAGAUAAUUCCCAAUAGUCUCUAAGGAGUAAAGUUUUAACGCUUUAGGAGUGGCCUGCGGGAUAUCAGCUAGUUGGUAGGGUAACGGCCUACCAAGGCUAUGACGUCUAGGGGAGCUGAGAGGCUGACCCCCACCGAUGGUACUGAGAUACGGACCAUACACCUACGGGUGGCCGCAGUCGAGAAUCUUCCGCAAUGGGCGCAAGCCUGACGGAGCGACGCCGCGUGAUCGAUGAAGUUCUUCGGAAUGUAAAGAUCUUUUAUAAGGGAGAAAGUUUAUUGAUAGUACCUUAUGAAUAAGGGGUUGCUAAACUCGUGCCAGCAGCAGCGGUAAUACGAGUGCCCCAAGCGUUAUCCGGAAUCACUGGGCGUAAAGGGUGUGUAGGCGGUCAUGUUAGUCUCAUGUCAAA
rnacentral:rRNA from 1 species